rnacentral:tRNA from 1 species
GCCAGCGUGGCGGAAAAACGCACCGCUCUUGUAAAGCGGACCAUGCAGGUAACCAGUCCUGUCGCUGGCUCCA